rnacentral:rRNA from 1 species
UACGGGGGGGGCAAGCGUUGUUCGGAAUUACUGGGCGUAAAGGGCUCGUAGGCGGCCAACUAAGUCAGACGUGAAAUCCCUCGGCUUAACCGGGGAACUGCGUCUGAUACUGGAUGGCUUGAGAUUGGGAGAGGGAUGCGGAAUUCCAGGUGUAGCGGUGAAAUGCGCAGAUAUCGGGAGGAACACCAAUGGCGAAGGCAGCUUGCUGGGACGGUACUGACGCUGAGACGCGAAAGCGUGGGGAGCAAACAGG